rnacentral:antisense_RNA from 1 species
AGGCAGAGAGGGAGAAAUAACAAGAAUGGAAGAGUCGUUCUUCCAAAAAGGGCCAUCUGUGACCCUGAGAGAUAAACCUGGCAGACCAGGGCUCACAUCUUAGUAAAUCACCUGUAAAUAAAGCUUGCAAGGGCAGUGACUGGAAGCUGGGAGAGAGGGUCAACAGCUGAAUCUCAGCCUGAUGGAGGCCACCAUUUAAUAAGUAAAUACAUGCACAGCUAUUUAGAUCCUGCAUCAGACCGCUUCCUCAGACAGGUCAUCAGAAAACAUGAAGCUAAAUGCAGUAAAGAAUUACUCUCUUGAACU